rnacentral:rRNA from 1 species
AGAGUUUUGAUCUGGCUCAGAUUGAACGCUGGCGGCAGGCCUAACACAUGCAAGUCGAGCGGAUGAAGGGAGCUUGCUCCUGGAUUCAGCGGCGGACGGGUGAGUAAUGCCUAGGAAUCUGCCUGGUAGUGGGGGAUAACGUCCGGAAACGGGCGCUAAUACCGCAUACGUCCUGAGGGAGAAAGUGGGGGAUCUUCGGACCUCACGCUAUCAGAUGAGCCUAGGUCGGAUUAGCUAGUUGGUGGGGUAAAGGCCUACCAAGGCGACGAUCCGUAACUGGUCUGAGAGGAUGAUCAGUCACACUGGAACUGAGACACGGUCCAGACUCCUACGGGAGGCAGCAGUGGGGAAUAUUGGACAAUGGGCGAAAGCCUGAUCCAGCCAUGCCGCGUGUGUGAAGAAGGUCUUCGGAUUGUAAAGCACUUUAAGUUGGGAGGAAGGGCAGUAAGUUAAUACCUUGCUGUUUUGACGUUACCAACAGAAUAAGCACCGGCUAACUUCGUGCCAGCAGCCGCGGUAAUACGAAGGGUGCAAGCGUUAAUCGGAAUUACUGGGCGUAAAGCGCGCGUAGGUGGUUCAGCAAGUUGGAUGUGAAAUCCCCGGGCUCAACCUGGGAACUGCAUCCAAAACUACUGAGCUAGAGUACGGUAGAGGGUGGUGGAAUUUCCUGUGUAGCGGUGAAAUGCGUAGAUAUAGGAAGGAACACCAGUGGCGAAGGCGACCACCUGGACUGAUACUGACACUGAGGUGCGAAAGCGUGGGGAGCAAACAGGAUUAGAUACCCUGGUAGUCCACGCCGUAAACGAUGUCGACUAGCCGUUGGGAUCCUUGAGAUCUUAGUGGCGCAGCUAACGCGAUAAGUCGACCCGCC